UCCCUCUUUUUCCUUUUCCCCCAACCCAGCCCCCCUCUCUCUCAAAAAUAAAACAUUAUGCAUCGAUGAAAACACACGCACGGUUCCGAAGAAUAAAAUAACUCCAACAUGGUCCACCAGCAACUGCUAUCAAAAGUAAGUUCUAGGAGAAGCAAAACUGUUACAGUACGUUUAUGGGAGAAGAAAAAAUUGUUCGUCACCUCUGUCGGCAUCAAUUGUUCAUUUUUGAGCUCCUUCUCAAGAACCCUAGAGGAAUAAAGCACAAAAACAGUGAUUCUGAUGGUGGAACCUUAACUGUGAUUUGCUUUUUGUUGGGUGCUAUCAUAUAAAGUUUUUUGUCUUCAAUGAAGCGAGCGCUUUGCUUCUUGCAUCACACUUUAAGCGAAGCGGGUCCUUGUCUAUGUUUUCUGAUUCACGCUUUCAAAAGCACUGAUCAUAUAAAGGUAAAAGGCUAGCAUGUUGUACGAAAGGUUCAACCUCGUGAUUAUUUUGACGUGCAAGAAAAGGAUGAUGAGUUUGAGGAGUUAAAUAAUAAGAAUAUGAUGCUUUAUUCUGAAUGUGUAUCUAUGAGUCUGGUAGUGCUUCUGACUAUUUGUACAGAUGGAAUUUAAUUAGUGUUAGAUUGUUUCUCUGUAUAGCGUGUUUGUGUUCCUGUAUAUUCUCUGUAAUAGUCAUUGUAUAGUUCUUGAACUUGCUAAACUUCACCAAGUCUCUUUAAUAGUCAUUGUAUGGUUCUUGGGUUAGCUUAAACAUAUUCGACUUCUUUUUGUAUUAGGUUGACAUGAAUCCAUCAAAAUUUCAUAAGCCUGAAACCAUCAACUUCAAAGACUAUUAAGCAUGCAUACAUACCAGCUGGUGCCUUAGCAAGGGGACGAGGACAAAGCAUAAGAGCUUUGGGCUCCAUUAGAUUAAGAGUCUGUUUGGAUUGACUUAUUUUAGGUGCUUUUAAGCCAAAAUAGCUUUUAAGAAUUUUUGUAGUGUUUGAGUAAAAUAAAAAAGUGCUUUUAAGCACUUGUUUUUAAGCUAAAAUAACUAAAUUUAGCCAAAAGUCAUAAGCUAGAAUUCCUAACUUAUGGAUUUUGGCUUAUAAGUCAAAAGUCAUAAGCCCGUCAAACGGGCUCUAAGUGUUGAUAGAUAACUCCAAUUGGCAAAAGUAAAAUAAUAAAGCAGUAGCUUUUUGUCGAAUGAGCUAGUACAGAAUAAUAGCCUUGUGCCCUCUGGUUUUGAUCCAAUGGAAGAUGAUGUUCCCCUCGCUCAGGAAGCUGAAGUGAUGCAAGACACUCAGAGAAGUGAAAUAGGUCCAUAUGAAUAUGAAAAGACAAAAAAAUAGUGAGGAAAGAAGAGGUGUAAAAAUGUUGCAGGACUCAAAGCUGGAGAGAAGUUGAGUUAUUUUUUACCAGAAUCGACUUGUUGGGAAGCAUCACCGCUCAUUUACGAGAUAAUUAGGUGUUAGUUCAUGAUUGUAAUAUGUGCCCAUUGCAGGUACACUCUUGGGUGGAUAUCGAGGAAGAGUAGUUGGAAUAUAUAUGGGAAGCUGCAACUAUAAGUUAAGCAUUACUUUCUUGAUUUAUUUUUCAAGCUUGAUGCCAGUCAACUAACUUGUAUGUGUUCUUUUGCGCGCCAUAACAUUUAUGCUCGAUGUAUUUAUGAACACUCCGUUAUUUUGAACUUUUUGGUUUUAACUUAUUGGUUUUUCUGUUGGUUGUAAACAGUCCCUGCAAGACACAAAUCUCAGUUUCAUAAAA